rnacentral:rRNA from 1 species
GAUGAACGCUAGCGGCAGGCCUAAUACAUGCAAGUCGAACGAUAGUGAAAAGCUUGCUUCUCACGAAAGUGGCGCACGGGUGCGUAACGCGUAUGCAACCUACCUUAAUCAGGGGGAUAGCCCGAAGAAAUUCGGAUUAACACCGCAUAAAAUCACAGUAUAGCAUUAUACAAUGAUCAAAUAUUUAUAGGAUUAAGAUGGGCAUGCGUGACAUUAGUUAGUUGGCGGGGUAACGGCCCACCAAGACCACGAUGUCUAGGGGAUCUGAGAGGAUGACCACCCACACUGGUACUGAGACACGGACCAGACUCCUACGGGAGGCAGCAGUAAGGAAUAUUGGGCAAUGGAGGCAACUCUGAACCAGCCAUGCCGCGUGCAGGAAGACAGCCCUCUGGGUCGUAAACUGCUUUUAUUCGGGAAUAAACCUAUCUACGUGUAGAUAGCUGAAUGUACCGAAGGAAUAAGGAUCGGCUAACUCCGUGCCAGCCGCCGCAGUAA